rnacentral:rRNA from 1 species
GCUUGUCUCAAAGAUUAAGCCAUGCAUGUCUAAGUGUAAAUAAGUCUAUACUGUGAAACUGCGAAUGGCUCAUUAAAUCAGUUAUCGUUUAUUUGAUGAUCUCUUACUACUUGGAUAACCGUAGUAAUUCUAGAGCUAAUACAUGCACAAAAUCCCGACUUACGAAGGGAUGUAUUUAUUAGAUACAAACCAACAUCGUGGUGAUUCAUAAUAACUUUGCGAAUCGCAUGGCCUUGUGCCGGCGAUGAAUCAUUCAAAUUUCUGCCCUAUCAACUUUCGAUGGUAAGGUAUUGGCUUACCAUGGUUGCAACGGGUGACGGGGAAUUAGGGUUCGAUUCCGGAGAGGGAGCCUGAGAAAUGGCUACCACAUCCAAGGA